rnacentral:sRNA from 1 species
CCGAUUUACCGAGGGUCUUUUACCGAAGGCUUUUAAGCCUUCGGUAUUGAGGUAAUUACCGAAGGCUUUUUAGCCAUCGGUAACGUCCACGUUAAUUUAAGUCCCAAAUUGGGUCAUUCGAUCCCCAAUUUCAUUUCACUUGAGCUUCGUCGUGUGUGUCUGUGUCAUCCCUCUCUGCAAACACUUCCCUCCCUUGCUUCACGCUCCGUGAGGUUGUCGGUUAGUGACCGGUGGUUGUCCGUCACGGUGGUGAGUGGUGCGUUGGUCGGUCUUGGUUGACGCUGCGUGGUUGUUUGGGGAGUGUUGUGGUAGGGUUCGUGGUGGGUUGGUUGGUUCGUUGACGGCUGGAGGUGUGGAGGUUGAGGGACUUUGCCGGAGGGGACGUUGUGGGCUUCCGUCGCUGUCGUGCUCGUCAAGCGGUUUCUUGGUAGAGGAACUUGGUUGACGGACUUCGUUGGAGUGGCCGUUGUGGGGCGUCGCCGUGGUGGUGUACAAAGGUUGCAUCGUCAAGGGCUAUCUCGGUUAAGGUUUUGCUGCAUAUGGAGCAAGAAAACUGCAUCGGUUCAACGAGGAUCUGUGCUGGAGUUGGAAUCCAGAACCUUCUCUCUUGGUUAAAGGAGCAGCCAUGGAAGCUUCUCUUGGAGGAGGCUUCUUCUUCCUUGACAUGGAAAAUCAUCUUCUCAUCAUCAUCAUCAACAACCUCAUGAUGCCUUUUAGCACUGUCAGGCAAACCAAUGUGCAAAGCCACAGAGACUUGUUCAAGCUUUUCCUCUUUCACCUCAAAACUUUGAUGAUGGUAUUCAUCUUUUGAGGCCUUUUCAGUUAAAAUGGGCAAGAAUUGGAUGGUUUCAUGAACAAAGUCAUGCCAGGGGAAGGAAAAAGAAGAAGAAAAAGAUGAUGAAGAAGAAGUAGAUAUUGUGUUAGGAGAAGUACAUGGUUUGAGCCACUCAAUGAAAGUAGGAGCAUGAAGGUAUAGAUUCUUAUUGUUGCACUCCAUCAAACCCUGGUUGGAUUUAGAGAAUUAUCUUCUCUCUUCCUCAGAAAAGGGUUAUGUUAUGUAUAUGUGUGUCUUCAGACUUUAUGGAGGCUUUGUUUGUCUUUAUGGAUUUAAUAGGAGGGUCUGAAAAUCACAAGCAAAAAU